rnacentral:rRNA from 1 species
AUACGGAGGAUCCGAGCGUUAUCCGGAUUUAUUGGGUUUAAAGGGUGCGCAGGCGGCCAUUUAAGUCAGCGGUUAAAUCGUGGGGCUCAACCCCAUUCUGCCGUUGAUACUGGGUGGCUUGAUUGCGGUCGAGGUUGGCGGAAUUCGUUGUGUAGCGGUGAAAUGCAUAGAUAUGACGAAGAACACCGAUUGCGUAGGCAGCUGACCAGACCGCAAAUGACGCUCAUGCACGAAAGUGCGGGGAUCGAACAGGAUUAGAUACCCUGGUAAUCCGCACAGUAAACGAUGAAUACUUGUUUUCGGCGAUAUAAUGUCGGAGGCAAAGCGAAAGCGAUAAGUAUUCCACCUGGGGAGUACGCCGGCAACGGUGAAACUCAAAUGAAUUGACGGGG